AUGCUGCGACUUAGCAUCUGUGUUGUGUGGGGAGCAUUUGUUACAGACCUGAUUCAUGGAGAUUCUGUCAUUCAGUCACUCUCAUUAGUAACUCGAACUGAAGGAGGGGCAGUGACUCUUAACUGUACCUUUGAUACUACAUUGAGCAGCUAUGUAUUGCUCUGGUACAGACAGCAUCCAGGCACACAGCCCAGGUAUAUCCUAAGCAAAGAUCGUCUUGAAGUUGAGGAUAAAGCAGAUUUUGCGAAAGAUGUCUUCUCCGUAGAACUUCAGACCUCGAGGAAGUUCACUGGUUUGACUAUCACCGCGCUGGAGCUGACUGACGCUGCUGUAUAUCACUGCACGUUCAGGCACAGUGAUGAGAAACAGUCUCACUCCCGUACAAAAACUGUCUGUUUAUCAUAG